GCAUUUUGGCGGUAGGCCUAACACAUGCAAGUCGAACGGCAGCACAGUAAGAGCUUGCUCUUACGGGUGGCGAGUGGCGGACGGGUGAGGAAUACAUCGGAAUCUACUUUUUCGUGGGGGAUAACGUAGGGAAACUUACGCUAAUACCGCAUACGACCUUCGGGUGAAAGCAGGGGACCUUCGGGCCUUGCGCGAUUGAAUGAGCCGAUGUCGGAUUAGCUAGUUGGCGGGGUAAAGGCCCACCAAGGCGACGAUCCGUAGCUGGUCUGAGAGGAUGAUCAGCCACACUGGAACUGAGACACGGUCCAGACUCCUACGGGAGGCAGCAGUGGGGAAUAUUGGACAAUGGGCGCAAGCCUGAUCCAGCCAUACCGCGUGGGUGAAGAAGGCCUUCGGGUUGUAAAGCCCUUUUGUUGGGAAAGAAAAGCAACUGGCUAAUACCCGGUUGUUCUGACGGUACCCAAAGAAUAAGCACCGGCUAACUUCGUGCCAGCAGCCGCGGUAAUACGAAGGGUGCAAGCGUUACUCGGAAUUACUGGGCGUAAAGCGUGCGUAUGUGGUUGUUUAAGUCUGUUGUGAAAGCCCUGGGCUCAACCUGGGAAA
rnacentral:rRNA from 2 species